rnacentral:rRNA from 1 species
GGGAGGUAGUGACAAUAAAUACCUUACAGAGGUCUCGUUAACCGAGAUCUCUCAAACGGAAUGAGUACAACGUGAAUCCUUUAACGAGGAUCGACUGGAGGGCAAGCCUGGUGCCAGCAGCCGCGGUAAUUCCAGCUCCAGUAGCGUAUAUUAAAGCUGUUGCGGUUAAAAAGCUCGUAGUUGGAUAUCAGUGCGUGUCCGGUCCGGUAUGCCCGGCGGCGGCGCUCGCGCGUCACUGCUGGGCUCCCAAAUAUCGGCUGGCCGCAUUCAAUCGUGCCGGAUCCGUCGACGGGCCGUUCUUCGGAGGGGCCUGUUGGCGACCGGCGACGUUACCUUGAACAAAUUAGAGUGCUCAAAGCAGGCUCUGAAUGCCUGUAUACAUAUUCAUGGAAUUGGAGAAUACGUCCCUGGCUCGAUUUGGUUGGUUUUGAGAGUCGAAGGGAAAUGAUUAAUAGGGACUGACGGAGGCAUUCGUAUUGCGACGCGAGGGGUGAAAUCCUGUGACCGUCGCACGACGAACUACUGCGAAAGCAUUUGCCGAGAAUGUUUUCAUUAGUCAAGAACGAAAGUUAGAGGUUCGAAGGCGAUCAGAUACCGCCCUAGUUCUAACCGUAAACGAUGUCGACCAGCAAUCCGCAACGGUCACUACACGGACUGUGCGGGCAGCUUCCCCGGGGAAACCAGAGUGUAUGGACUCCGGGGGAAGUAUGGUUGCAAAGCUGAAACUUAAAGGAAUUGACGGAAGGGCACCACCAGGAGUGGAGCUUGCGGCUUAAUUUGACUCAACACGGGACAACUCACCAGGCCCGGACACCGUAAGGAUUGACAGACUGAUAGCUCUCUCUUGAUUCAGUGGGUGGUGGUGCAUGGCCGUUCUUAGUUGGUGGAGUGAUUUGUCUGGUUUAUUCCGAUAACGAACGAGACUCUGGCCUAUUAAACUUGACGCCGUCAGUCUCUUGUGACUGCGGUGCGCUUC